rnacentral:rRNA from 1 species
AGUGAACGCUGGCGGUAGGCCUAACACAUGCAAGUCGAACGGCAGCACAGUAAGAGCUUGCUCUUACGGGUGGCGAGUGUCGGACGGGUGAGGAAUACAUCGGAAUCUACUUUUUCGUGGGGGAUAACGUAGGGAAACUUAUGCUAAUACCGCAUACGACCUACGGGUGAAAGCAGGGGAUCUUCGGACCUUGCGCGAUUGAAUGAGCCGAUGUCGGAUUAGCUAGUUGGCGGGGUAAAGGCCCACCAAGGCGACGAUCCGUAGCUGGUCUGAGAGGAUGGUCAGCCACACUGGAACUGAGACACGGUCCAGACUCCUACGGGAGGCAGCAGUGGGGAAUAUUGGACAAAGGGCGCAAGCCUGAUCCAGCCAUACCGCGUGAAGGAAGAAGGACUUCGGGUUGUAAAGCCCUUUUGUUGGGAAAGAAAAGCAGCAGGUUAAUACCCCGCUGUUCUGACGGUACCCAAAGAAUAAGCACCGGCUAACUUCGUG